rnacentral:lncRNA from 1 species
CCACCACUUCCCAGCCUCCCCACCCCAGCAUAGCAAAGGACUAGCAAUGUCGGCGCUCGGCGCCCUCUCCGGCGGCGCCGCCGGUGUCGCUGGCCUCCUCAGCCUCCGCCGCCGUGCAGCCGCGCCACCACCACCCUCUGCGCUCGCCUCCUCGUCGCACCUCCCGCCGCUUAAGUGCGCCGCCGUUCCCGAUGCCGGCCACCUCGUCUGGGGCCGCCAGCUCCGCCCGGCGCUCGCCCUCCUCCCGUUCCCGUCGCAGGCCGCCAGGAAGCAGACCCCACGCCCGCCCGCCGCCGCCUCCGCAGGG